ACGAACGCUGACGGUACUCCUAACACAUGCAAGUCGAACGAAGUGUAGCAAUACAUUUAGUGGCAAACGGGUGAGUAACACGUGGGAACAUGCCUUUAAGUGGGGGAUAAUUGAGGGAAACCUCUUGUAAUACCGCAUAUUCUCGAGAGAGGAAAGGUGAAAAUCGCUUAAAGAGUGGCCUGCGCUGGAUUUUUUCUAGUUGGUGAGGUAAUGGCUCACCAAGGUAUAAUCCAUAGUUGGUCUGAGAGGAUGAUCAGCCACACUGGGACUGAGAUACGGCCCAGACUCCUACGGGGGGCAGCAGUGGGGAAUAUUGGACAAUGGGGGCAACCCUGAUCCAUAGAUACCGUGUGAGCGAAGAAGGUUUUCGGAUUGUAAAGCUCUUUUAACAGGGAAGAUUAUGACGGUACCUGUAGAAUAAGCACCGGCUAACUCUGU
rnacentral:rRNA from 1 species